rnacentral:rRNA from 1 species
UCCAAUAGCGUAUAUUAAAGUUGUUGCAGUUAAAAAGCUCGUAGUUGGAUUUCGGGACGGGCCGGCCGGUCCGCCGCAAGGCGUGUUACUGACCGGGCUGUUCUUCUUCGCAAAGACUGCAUGUGCUCUUAACUGAGUGUGUGUAGGACUUGUGACGUUUACUUUGAAAAAAUUAGAGUGUUCAAAGCAGGCCAGCGCUUGAAUACAUAAGCAUGGAAUAAUGGAAUAGGACUUUGGUUCUAUUUUGUUGGUUUCUGGAACCGAAGUAAUGAUUAAAAGGGACAGUUGGGGGCAUUCGUAUUUCGUUGUCAGAGGUGAAAUUCUUGGAUUUACGAAAGACGAACUACUGCGAAAGCAUUUGCCAAGAAUGUUUUCAUUAAUCAAGAACGAAAGUUAGAGGAUCGAAGACGAUCAGAUACCGUCCUAGUUCUAACCAUAAACGAUGCCGACUAGGGAUCAGAGAGUGUUAUUGGAUGACCUCUUUGGCACCUUAUGGGAAACCAAAGUUUUUGGGUUCCGGGGGAAGUAUGGUUGCAAAGCUGAAACUUAAAGGAAUUGACGGAAG